AUUGAACGCUGGCGGCAGGCCUAACACAUGCAAGUCGAACGAGUGGCGGACGGGUGCGUAAUGUCUGGGAAACUGCCUGAUGGAGGGGGAUAACUACUGGAAACGGUAGCUAAUACCGCAUACCAUCUGAUGUGCCCAGAUGGGAUUAGCUAGUAGUUGGGGUAAAGGAUCACCUAGCCCACGAUCCCUAGCUGGUCUGAGAGGAUGACCAGCAACACUGGAACUGAGACACGGUACAGACUCCGACGGGAGGCAGCAGUGGGGAAUAUUGCACAAUGGGCGCAAGGCUGAUGCAGCCAUGCCGCGUGUAUGAAGAAGGCCUUCGGGUUGUAAAGUACUUGCAGCUGGGAGGCGUUACCCGCAGAAGAAGCACCGGCUAACUCCGUGCCAGCAGCCGCGGUAAUAC
rnacentral:rRNA from 1 species